GUCGGGAAUUUUGGGCAAUGGGCGAAAGCCUGACCCAGCAACGCCGCGUGAAGGAUGAAGUUUUUCGGAAUGUAAACUUCGUAAGAAUAGGAAGAAUUAAUGACGGUACUAUUUGUAAGGUCCGGCUAACUACGUGCCAGCAGCCGCGGUAAUACGUAGGGACCAAGCGUUGUUCGGAUUUACUGGGCGUAAAGGGCGCGUAGGCGGCAAUUCAAGUCAUCUGUGAAAUCUCCGGGCUUAACUCGGAACGGUCAGUUGAUACUGCUUUGCUAGAGUACGGAAGGGGCAAUCGGAAUUCUUGGUGUAGCGGUGAAAUGCGUAGAUAUCAAGAGGAACACCUGAGGUGAAGACGGGUUGCUGGGCCGAUACUGACGCUGAUGCGCGAAAGCUAGGGUAGCAAACGGGAUUAGAUACCCCGGUAGUCC
rnacentral:rRNA from 1 species